GCGCAGAGCGACGCUGGCGGCAGGCCUAAUACAUGCAAGUCGAGCGGCCCUUCGGGGCAGCGGCGGACGGGUGAGUACGCGUGGGAACGUGCCCUUUGGUACGGGAUAACUGAGGGAAACUUCAGCUAAUACCGUAUGUGCUCCUACGGGGGAAAGAUUUAUCGCCAUUGGAGCGGCCCGCGUUGGAUUAGGUAGUUGGUGGGGUAAAGGCCCACCAAGCCGACGAUCCAUAGCUGGUCUGAGAGGAUGAUCAGCCACACUGGGACUGAGACACGGCCCAGACUCCUACGGGAGGCAGCAGUGGGGAAUCUUGCGCAAUGGGCGAAAGCCUGACGCAGCCAUGCCGCGUGAAUGAUGAAGGUCUUAGGAUUGUAAAAUUCUUUCACCGGGGAAGAUAAUGACGGUACCCGGAGAAGAAGCCCCGGCUAACUUCGUGCCAGCAGCCGCGGUAAUACGAAGGGGGCUAGCGUUGCUCGGAAUUACUGGGCGUAAAGGGCGCGUAGGCGGACAGUUUAGUCAGAGGUAAAAGCCCAGGGCUCAACCUUGGAACUGCCUUUGAUACUGGCUGUCUUGAGUUCGGGAGAGGUGAGUGGAAUGCCGAGUGUAGAGGUGAAAUUCGUAGAUAUUCGGCGGAACAUCAGUGGCGAAGGCGACUCACUGGCCCGAUACUGACGCUGUAGGCGGAAAGCGU
rnacentral:rRNA from 1 species